rnacentral:rRNA from 1 species
UACGUAGGGCGCAAGCGUUGUCCGGAAUUAUUGGGCGUAAAGAGCUCGUAGGCGGCUUGUCACGUCGGGUGUGAAAACCCGAGGCUCAACCUCGGGCCUGCAGUCGAUACGGGCAAACUAGAGUACUGCAGGGGAGACUGGAAUUCCUGGUGUAGCGGUGAAAUGCGCAGAUAUCAGGAGGAACACCGGUGGCGAAGGCGGGUCUCUGGACAGUUCCUGACACUGAGACACGAAGGCCAGGGGAGCAAACGGG